AUUUAUAUAGUAUAAAAGUAUAUAUGACUUCCAAUCAUAAGGCCUAAUUAUCAAUUAGUAUAAAUA
rnacentral:tRNA from 1 species